UACGAAGGGGGCUAGCGUUGCUCGGAAUGACUGGGCGUAAAGGGCGCGUAGGCGGAUGGCACAGUCAGAUGUGAAAUUCCCGGGCUUAACCUGGGGGCUGCAUUUGAUACGUGUUGUCUAGAGUGAGGAAGAGGGUCGUGGAAUUCCCAGUGUAGAGGUGAAAUUCGUAGAUAUUGGGAAGAACACCGGUGGCGAAGGCGGCGACCUGGACUACUACUGACGCUGAGUGAGCGAAAGCCAGGGGAGCAAACGGG
rnacentral:rRNA from 1 species